GCUCACGUGACCGGCUCCGGGACUAUAUAAGGGGCGCGCAGAAGCAGACACGCCCUUUUCGGCGCGCGGAGUCGGGUGCUGGGUUGCAGCCGGCGGGGCCCUGGCGUUUAAGAUGCACCAACUACGCUUUCCUCGCAUGGCUUCAAAACAGGUUUGCCACCGAAUAUGGAGACUUGAUGCCGCUUUGCAAGGCUUUGAAUUGUGCACUUGGAAGACUUGCAGAAGAAACAUCACCUGGCACUGGGAGAUGAAGCUAUAAGCUCUGCAAGGCUGCCCUAGACAAGAGGGUACCUGUGCCUCCGGUGUGAGAAGCUACUUGACCUGUUACUGGUGUUGCAAAGUUGAGGCCUUGCUAAUUGAAGGUUUGCCACCGAAUAUGGAGACUUGAUGCCGCUUUGCAAGGCUUUGAAUUGUGCACUUGGAAGACUUGCAGAAGAAACAUCACCUGGCACUGGGAGAUGAAGCUAUAAGCUCUGCAAGGCUGCCCUAGACAAGAGGGUACCUGUGCCUCCGGUGUGAGAAGCUACUUGACCUGUUACUGGUGUUGCAAAGUUGAGGCCUUGCUAAUUGGAGGCUUACAAAGUGUUUCUCAUAAUGAUGGCUGGUGUGGUGGAGCUGUGAAGCGAUGCAGUUUGUAGUGCUACCAGCAAAGGGUGAAGCUCAUGGGGAGUUUGUGUGAGAAACAGGACUAACUUACGUCUCAGGAAAGGACUGCGCUGCAACUUUGGCAACUUGCUUGGGUGAGGAGGCAACUUUGAAACUACUGUAUGAAGAACAGAAGAGGUGGAAGAUUGCAGAAUAAUGGGUUACACUUGAAUGAACAGCAUUAAAAAAGCCAAGGUUUUUUUACCACACUGCUUUGCCUGGUAUUGGUUGGAACCAAUAAAAAUUUGUAAACUCUA